GGAGGGGGAAAAUCAGAAUCAGAAUCAAGUUUAUUGCCAGGUACAUUUACACAUACAAGGAAUCUGCUUUGGUAUCUGGUGGUGCGAACAUAAACAAUCUAAGAAAAUAAGUUGCAAUAAUAGGUAAAAAAAGAAAUGUAUAAGGAUAAUACAAAAUACAUAUUUUAAGAAACAAUUUAGCAUUAAAAAAAGAAUACUAAAGGCAAGUAUUUAUACCGAAUUUACAUUUCAAUAUACAAAGAACCUUAAAAGCUGAACAACUAAAACACUUAAGACAAUGAAAAUAUGACAAGAUGUUGUUCACAUGAUGUGCACUAAUGUAAUGCACAACGUUUGUGGGGUGAAGAAACUGUCUCCACCGUCUUGAGAGCAUUAAGCUCCAAGCGGUUGUCCCUGCACCAGGUCACAGAUCGUCCCUAUCCCACCUGUAGGCAGACCCCCCCCCACCCCACCAGAGAUGAGGGUGGUGUCGUCUGCGAACUUCAGGAGCUUGACAGACUGGUGACUGGAGGUGCAGCUGUUGGUGUACAGGCAGAAGAGCAGAGGGGAAAGAACGCAGCCUUGAGGGGAACCGGCGCUGAUGGUCCGGGGGUCAGAGACGUGUUUCCCCAGCCUCACGUGCUGCUUCCUGUCAGACAGGAAGUCUGUGAUCCACCUGCAGGUGGACUCGGGCACAUGCAGCUGGGAGAGCUUGUCCUACAGCAGAGCUGGGACGAUCGUAUUAAGCUGAAGUCCACAAACAGGAUCCUGGCUUAGGUUCUUGCUGUGUCCAGGUGCUGGAGGAGGAAGUGAAGGGCCAUGUUGACAGCAUAAUCUACAGACCUGUUGGCUCUGUAGGCAAACUGCAGGGGGGGUCCAGGAGGGGGUCUCUGAUGGAUUUUAUGUGGGAAAGGACAAGGCGCUCAAAGGACUUCAUAACCACAGAGGUCAGGGCGACGGGUCUGUAGUCAUUGAAUCCUGUGGUCCUUGUUUUCUUCGGGACCAGAAUGAUGGUGGAAAAUGUGUUUGUUUUGACAGCUUCCUUUGGGGAUUGCAUACAUUUUUUAAUGUGUAGUUGUUGGUGUAUUUACUGUCAAUUGUUCAACAUUGUUUAUUUUUUGGUGAAAAUCGUCUUGUCGUUUACUCUGUCCUUUCACAGUUGGUUCAAUCUGCACUAACCAAGAAACCAGGUGGUGAUCGUAUUAUCAAAGGAUACAACCGGACGAAAGGUCUGACUGACUCCACACGGCGACAGAUGGUUAACAUCAUGCUGAGAUGACUGAAACUCAUGGGAUGGGACAGUGAUCUGUCAUCCAUUAUACUUCUCCUCCACCUGAUUUCUCCUUCAGCCAGAAAAAACCAGACAAGGUGUCUGCAUCCCAAGCUGAGAAGCAUCGUGUGAUGUUCAAGAAGAUUGGAACAAGCAUCCAGGAACAUGUCGAUGCCAUCAACAGCACCACCCAACCCUAUCUUCUUGCCGUUGGAAUGAAGAGAAGUAAUAUCCAUCAGUUCUUCGUCGUUCUGGAUAGUAAGGUCAUAGUCGACCAGUUCUCUUGGGGCUUUUGAUGAACUCUUCAAGGCACAUUUUGUAUUUGGGACCAUGUACAAUCACAUGCUACACAACAUAUACUGUACACCUUCAUUCAGACAACUAUGUACAACAUAGACAUUGGCAAAUGUUGUCAUAGUUUUGGUACUUUUUCAAGCUUCUGGAAACAUUUAAACACAACAGAUGCUGAGAAAAUUGAGCAUGAUGUUCAAACUGAUGUUUUUGUAGACGGUGAUGGUGUUGAAGAUAAUGUACAGUCACAAGAUUUAGAAGAAGCCGCUAGUAGCUCUCAAGCCCUGCCAGUAACUAACACGAGUACUCGUGAUAUGUGCUAUUGCACAGCUUCAGGUUGCUGGUGUAGGCCAAUCUACUUAGAAUAGUUUUGUGUCCUCCAUGGAAGAACUAGUACUGGAGAUACAGAGUCAAGCUAAAGAUGCAGCUUUGAAAUGUUUAUCUUCUCAGGAUACAAGUUCGAAAGCUAAGAUCGAACAAAGUUUUGAAAAACUUGAAAACCCUUUUUCUUCUUUAACUUCUGAAUCUAAAAGAAUUUUUUUUUUAACAGAAAUGGAGAACUGUUGAACCUGUCGAAAAAGUACUUGUCAGAUUAGAAAACAGAAGGAACAGAUGUACUGGAAUUUACGAUCAGGUAGUUAUAACUGACACAUUUUCCUAUGUUCCAAUUCUUGAAACAUUGCAGUCUAUUCUCAAAAAUCCGAACCUCAGUGAUAUGUUUACAAAAAGCCAAACUCCCAAGGAUGGUGUAUAUUUCGCAACCCAGUCUCAUGGCAUUUCAUGUUCAC